GCCAGCAACUCCGGGCGGUCGUAGGCACUAGCCCAAGCUUCGCGGCAACCGCCUGAUGAGGAUGUCGGAUCGAACUCCUAAAGCGGGUGUCGCAGGUUCGAAUCCUGCCGGGGGCACCA
rnacentral:tRNA from 1 species